rnacentral:rRNA from 1 species
AGAAUUGAACGCUGGCGGCAUGCCUUACACAUGCAAGUCGAACGGCAGCACGGGAGCAAUCCUGGUGGCGAGUGGCGAACGGGUGAGUAAUACAUCGGAACGUGCCCAGUCGUGGGGGAUAACGUAGCGAAAGCUACGCUAAUACCGCAUACGAACUCUGGUUGAAAGCGGGGGACUCGCAAGGGCCUCGCGCGAUUGGAGCGGCCGAUGGCAGAUUAGGAGUUGGUGGGGUAAAGGCCUACCAAGCCGACGANCUGUAGCUGGUCUGAGAGGACGACCAGCCACACUGGGACUGAGACACGGCCCAGA